rnacentral:rRNA from 1 species
GGUCAAGUUAUUAAGGGUGCAGGGCGGAUGCCUUGGCACUAGGAGCCGAUGAAAGACGUGAUAAGCUGCGAUAAGCUUCGGGGAGUGGCACAUACACUUUGAUCCGGAGAUUUCUGAAUGAGGAAACUCACUUGGAGUAAUGUCCAAGUAUCCUUAGGUGAAUACAUAGCCUAAGGAGGGGAACUCAGGGAACUGAAACAUCUAAGUACCUGAAGGAAGAGAAAGAAAUUCGAUUCCGCUAGUAGCGGCGAGCGAACGCGGAAGAGCCCAAACCAAGUUAGUUUACUAAUUUGGGGUUGCGGACAUAUCUUAAGGAGUAGUUAUUGCGAGUGGAAGAGUUCUGGAAAGUUCUACCACAGAGGGUAAUAGUCCCGUACACAAAGCCAAGAAGACUCUUGAUAUGAUCCAGAGUACCACGAGACACGUGAAACCUUGUGGGAAGCAGGGGGGACCACCCCCCAAGGCUAAAUACUACCUAGUGACCGAUAGCGUAUAGUACCGUGAGGGAAAGGUGAAAAGAACCCCGGGAGGGGAGUGAAAUAGAACCUGAAACCCUGCACUUACAAUCUGUGGGAGCGCAUUACUGGCGUGACCGCGUACUUUUUGUAGAACGGGCCAACGAGUUACGUUAUGUGGCAAGGUUAAGCACUUAAGGUGUGGAGCCGUAGCGAAAGCGAGUCUUAACUGGGCGACAUAGUCACAUGACGUAGACCCGAAACCGGGCGACCUACCCAUGAGCAGGAUGAAGCGAAAGUAAAAUUUCGUGGAGGUCCGAACCCACGUACGUUGAAAAGUGCGGGGAUGACUUGUGGGUAGCGGUGAAAUUCCAAUCGAGCUCGGAGAUAGCUGGUUCUCCUCGAAAUAGCUUUAGGGCUAGCCUUGAAUGUAGAGAUGUGGAGGUAGAGCACUGAAUGUCCUAGGGGGUAUUGCACUUACCGAAGACUAUCAAACUCCGAAUGCCAUAAUCUUUUAUUCAGGAGUCAGACUAUGGGUGAUAAGGUUCAUAGUCGAAAGGGAAAGAGCCCAGACCGUCAGCUAAGGUCCCUAAAUGUAUGUUAAGUGGUAAAGGAUGUGGGAUUGCAUAGACAACCAGGAUGUUGGCUUAGAAGCAGCCAUUCAUUUAAAGAGUGCGUAAUAGCUCACUGGUCGAGUGAUCCUGCGCCGAAGAUUUCCGGGGCUAAAACAUACUACCGAAGCUACGGCAUCGAAAGAUGGGUAGAGGAGCUUCCCAUGCAGGAUGAAGCAGUACCGUAAGGAGCUGUGGACAGUAUGGGAGAGAGAAUGUUGGCAUGAGUAGCGAGAUGAAGGUGAGAAUCCUUCAGGCCGUAAACCCAAGGUUUCCAGGGGAAGGUUCGUCCUCCCUGGGUUAGUCGGGACCUAAGCUCAGGCCGAAAGGCGUAGGCGAUGGACAACAGGUUGAAAUUCCUGUACUACCGAUAAUCGUUUGAGAGAUGGGAUGACACAGUAGGAUAAGCUGAGCACACUGUUGGUUAUGUGUGUCUAAGUAUUGAGGCAGAUCGAAUAGGCAAAUCCGUUUGAUUAAUGCUAGGAUACGAUGGGGAGCGAAACUAAGUAGCGAAGCAGCUGAUUUCACACUGUCGAGAAAAGUCUCUAUCGAGAUUAAAGGUACCCGUACCGCAAACCGACACAGGUGGGUGAGGAGAGUAUCCUAAGGCCAGCGAGAGAACUGUUGUUAAGGAACUCGGCAAAAUGACCCCGUAACUUAGGGAUAAGGGGUGCCCCAGAAAUGGGGCCGCAGAGAAUUGGCCCAAGCGACUGUUUACCAAAAACAUAGGUUUCUGCUAAGUCGCAAGACGAUGUAUAGGAGCUACGGCGGCCGUAACUAUAACGGUCCUAAGGUAGCGAAAUUCCUUGUCGGGUAAGUUCCGACCCGCACGAAAGGCGUAACGAUUUGGGCACUGUCUCAACAACAGACUCGGUGAAAUUGUAGUCCCGGUGAAGAUGCCGGGUACCUGCGACAGGACGGAAAGACCCCAUGGAGCUUUACUGUAGCUUGACAUUGGGUCUCGGUACUACAUGUACAGGAUAGGUGGGAGACUGAGAAAUCUGGGCGUCAGUUUAGAUGGAGUCAUCCUUGGGAUACCACCCUUGUAGUAUUGGGACUCUAACCAUAGGCCAUGAAUCUGGUCUUGGGACACUGUCUGGUGGGCAGUUUGACUGGGGCGGUCGCCUCCCAAAAGGUAACGGAGGCGCUCAAAGGUUCCCUCAGUACGGUCGGAAAUCGUACGAAGAGUGUAAAGGCAAAAGGGAGCUUGAUUGCAAGACAUACAGGUCGAGCAAGGUAGAAAUACGGACUUAGUGAUCCGGUGGUUCUGCGUGGAAGGGCCAUCGCUCAACGGAUAAAAGCUACCCUGGGGAUAACAGGCUUAUCUCCCCCAAGAGUCCACAUCGACGGGGAGGUUUGGCACCUCGAUGU